rnacentral:lncRNA from 1 species
CCCCUCCAGCCAACCUGUCUCCACUCCCACUCUCCCAUCCCCCCAACCCCCUGCAGCCAACCUGUCUCCACUCCCAUCCCCCAACCCCCUCCAGCCAACCUGUCUCCACUCCCACUCUCCCAUCCCCCCAACCCCCUCCAGCCAACAUGUCUCCACUCCCAGUCCUGUUCUGUGACCUUGGGCUUCUACUUCGCGCCUGAGCCAUUGUUACUCCUAGACGUUUCCACUUCAUAAUAACAGUACUUACAGUUGACCGGGCAGGGAGCUCUAGCAGGGCAGCUCUAGCAGGGCAGCUCUAGCAGGGCAGAAAUUUGAUGAACUGACUUGUUGGAAAGGUGGCAUCCUAUGAUGGUGCCACGUUGAAGGUCACUAAGCGCUUCAGUAAGGCCAUUCUACUGCCAAUGUUUGUCUAUGGAGAUUGCAUGUCUGUGUGCUCGAUUGUAUACACCUGUCAGCAACAGGUGUGGCUGAAAUAGCCAAAUCCACUCAUUUGAAGGGGUGUCCACAUACUUUUGUAUAUAGAGAGUAUUUAAGACAUUGGCUCCAAUCUAGGUUGUGCCUUUAGAUUAGGAGAAAAUUAACAACUAAGGAAGAAUUCUUCACUUCUCUCAUUGACUUGUCAAACCCCCAAACCCUGGCCUGGUCCUCUUGGUCUGUUUCACAAGCGUUCCCGGAAGUCUCUGAUGUUGCGCUUCUGGGUCCAGAAACUGUGAUUUUUCUGUUACUGCUUUUGCCAAAGUAUAUUUACGGUAUUUCGAUACAAUUGAGGCUUUCAGUCCAUAUUUAUACGUCUUUAUUAGUGGUUUUUUUUCAUCUGUUUUGUAUUUAUUACAGUUUUUUUUUUACUACAAAGUAUUGUGUAUUUGACUCGCCUGUGGUGCCAGGUAAUAUUGAACGUUCAGACAUCGUGGGCGGCAGGUAGCCUAGCGGUUUCGAUCGUUGCGCCACAUGUUGAAUAUGUUCAGUAGUUCUCCAAAUCCUGAAGCUACUUUUCCUUGAUACAUGUUGAAUUUGGAUUACAUUUGGGAUUUUUUGGUUUGUUGUACCAAAACUCCCUGUACUGUGUACUUUAUAACUGAGCUUCAUGUCCAGUUUUUUUCAUAACGCUCUCAUUGCCACAAAUCAUAUAAGAUACUUCAAAAUAUAUAAUAAUUACUUAGAACUUUUAUUUAUACUCAUUCAUUUCCUAAUACUUCCAAACAUGUUGUUGAACUGUAUUGUAAAAUAUGAUUCUGCUUGUUACAUGUAAGGGCAUAAGAGGAGGUAGAGGAAGAGGUAGAGGUAGAGGAGGUAGAGGUAGAGGUAGAGGUAGAGGUAGUGGUAGAGGUAGAGGUAGAGGAGGUAGAGGAGGUAGUGGUAGAGGUAGAGGAGGUAGAGGUAGUGGUAGAGGUAGAGGUAGAGGAGGUAGAGGUAGAGGUGGUAGCGGUAGAGGUAGAGGAGGUAGAGGUAGAGGAGGUAGAGGAGGUAGAGGUAGAGGUAGUGGUAGAGGUAGAGGAGGUAGAGGUAGUGGUAGAAGUAGUGGGAAAGGAGGUAGAGGUAGAGGUAGAGGUAGUGGUAGAGGAGGUAGAGGUAGUGGUAGAGGUAGAGGUAGAGGUACUCAAUCAUUCAAAGACACCUGCUGUGUGCCUCAAUGUGUGAAGAUCAGGAAUCUGCAAUGUUUGGGGAUUUUACCAACUAUCUUUACUGCAAUAUACAUACUUAAAAAAAAAGAGUCUUUCCUUGAAAUCUACAGGAACUUGUUGGACCGUUUUCUGAAAUAAUGAAACAUGCAAACAUGUUCCAGACAUUAUGUGAGUGUUACUAUAAAUAUGGGGUAUACAGUACAAACAUGCACAAAAGGGUUAUUUUAAUUUUGAUGGGAGACGUAUAAACAAUGUAAACAGUGCUAGGUGUAGGGAAUAGGGAGCAGUUUCACCCCCUAGGUCUCUGUGUAGGGAAUAGGGAGCAGUUUCACCCCCUAGGUCUCUGUGUAGGGAAUAGGGAGCCGUUUCACACCCUAGGUCUCUGUGUAGGGAAUAGGGAGCAGUUUCACCCCCUAGGUCUCUGUGUAGGGAAUAGGGAGCAGUUUCACACCCUAGGUCUCUGUGUAGGGAAUAGGGAGCAGUUUCACCCCCUAGGUCUCUGUGUAGGGAAUAGGGAGCCGUUUCACCCCCUAGGUCUCUGUGUAGGGAAUAGGGAGCAGUUUCACCCCCUAGGUCUCUGUGUAGGGAAUAGGGAGCAGUUUCACACCCUAGGUCUCUGUGUAGGGAAUAGGGAGCCGUUUCACACCCUAGGUCUCUGUGUAGGGAAUAGGGAGCAGUUUCACACCCUAGGUCUCUGUGUAGGGAAUAGGGAGCCGUUUCACACCCUAGGUCUCUGUGUAGGGAAUAGGGAGCCGUUUCACACCCUAGGUCUCUGUUGAGAGAAACGUAAUUUGAAUCAUCAGUACAGUAAGGGGAUCUUGUUACAGUGAAACAGACGGAAACGGCCUGGAUACAAAAAAUAAAAAAUAAAAACAUUUGCAAAAAAGGUGCAAGUGAUGCUUUUUGAAGUAAAUGAUAGGCUGGCUAAGCCAAACAGUUAUAAUGUGGCACAAUUAUUUCCUGUUUUUCAUGAAUUCGAAAACUUUGUAUGUUUUAUUGUCAACAGGAGUAUUACUGUAAUUAUUAUUAUUAUUAUUAUUGAUUAUUGUUAUGACUAUUACUAAUAUUAGUGGCAGGCCACUGGGUAACAUUGUAUGUCGAUAUCCAAAUGAAAUCUGUGCAAGAUAAUGAUGCAAAAUGUUUAUGAGUUUUUAAAAACAAAUAAAAAAGGUAGACUACAGGACUGUGUCAUUACGGUUGUUGUAACUGUGAAACUCUGAGAUUAACAAAUAGUUGAUCUAAAUCAAUUAUUCAAUUAAUCAAUCAAAAUCAAUUAUGACACCUUUUAUAUGGGGUGGUUGGUAGCCUAGUUAUUAAAGCGUUGGACUAGUAACCCGAAAGGUUACUAGAUCAAAAUCCCCGAGCUGACAAGUUAAAAAUCUGUCGUUUCUGACCCUGAACAAGGGUCCCCUGGUAGGCAGUCAUUGUAAAUAAGAAUUUGUUCUUAACUGACUUGCCUAGUUCAAUAAAGGUUAAAUACAAAAAAAAAA